rnacentral:rRNA from 1 species
AUGGGACUCCUAGGUAUGAUGGGUGACUCCUUCGGCUGCUCAGCUACCGGUGAGCGGCUCGUCUCUGCUGCGAGGGAUGGAGACAUCCAGGAGGCUAGGGCCCUAUUGGAGCUUAACCCCCGGCUUGCACGAUACUCGACAUUCGGUAUCCGGAACACACCCCUCCAUUACUCGGCGGCAAAGGGCCACCACGAGAUUGUUUCCCUGCUAAUAGAAACUGGCGUUGAUAUCAACCUUAGGAACUGCAGAGGACAGACUGCUCUGAUGCAAGCUUGUCUAUAUGGUCAUUGGAAAGUUGUACAGAUCCUAGUUCUUUUUAAAGCUAAUAUUCACAAAAAAGAUUGUUUUAGUGGUGCAACAGCAAUUCAUUUUGCCGCCCUGAAAGGUCAUACCCGGUGCAUCCGGCUUAUUGCGGCUGAUUACGUGCCUAGUUUGCCGGAUUUUUGGAGCAUCAUGCGCGGAACAGCCACGGGUGAAACAAAUAAGGAAGCUUUUGAUGCAGCAAAUCUCCAGAGACUAGUUAAUGCAAAGUCAGAUGGAGGUGUCACCCCUCUUCACUUGGCAGCUCUUCACGGGCAUGCUGAGAGCUUGCAAUUGCUGUUAGACCUUGGAGCCUCUGUCUCUGAGGUCACAGUCAACGAUGGCUCAACUAUUGAUCUCAUAGGUUCAGGAAGCACGGCCCUUCACUAUGCAGCUUGUGGAGGAAGUGCUGUGUGCUGCCAACUUCUCAUUGCAGCAGGAGCACACAUGGGAGCUGAAAAUGCUAACGGGUUGAGUCCUUUGAUGGUGGCUCGUUCAUGGCACAAAACUGGUGCUGAAGGCGUCCUAAGCAAACAGCCAGAAGGGAGACUACUAAUUCUUCCGUCACCAUAUCUAUCUCUUCCACUGAUGAGCAUUGUCAAAAUCGCUCGGGAAUGCGGAUGGAGAAAAACCUCGGCAUCAUCUAGUAGUUGCCAUGAUCCAUGUGUGAUAUGUUUGGAGAUGGAAUGCACGGUAGCUGCAGAAGGUUGUGGCCAUGAGUUCUGCACCAAAUGUGCGCUCUAUCUGUGCUCCACCACCAGCAGCUCGACAUGUACCCGCGGGGUGCCGGGCUCCAUAUCCUGCCCUCUGUGCAGGCACACAAUAGUCUCCUUUGUGAAGCUCACAGGCACCACCUUCCUGAAGGAGCUUCCGUGGACCACCUCAUCGUUGGCUCUAUGUGCGGCAGGCGCAAGCACUGGCUCGUUGCGUCGCCAGUCGGACAUCCGUCGCCUACGCUCCUCCUCGGUUCACCUGGGAUGCUCCUCUUUUCGAUCCACCGGCUCUGGUAGAUUGUCGUCGAUCAAGUUGAAUUGCGGCAGGCUUGACGAGACGCUGCCCUGCCUCGUCAGCUGUAUCAGGCCGGAUGUGCGGCGAUCAUCUUCGUACAGGGAAAGAGUCGGUAGUAGAUAUUCAGAGUUUUCAUAA